UCACCUCACACUCACAGACACUCGGUCGACUAAAGAAAAAGAGGGAGACGGAGAGAGAGAGAGAGAGAGAGGGCAAGGGAGACGGAGAGAGAUAGAAGGAGUCGAGCGAGAAGAAAGGCGAAAGAGAUGGAUGCAAGUAAGAUGGAGAGGAAUUUGAAGAUUCUAUGGAGAAGACCAUGAUGUUCAUUGUCUGUAGCACGCUGGUGCUUCUAUGUUCUACAUCAGCAUAUGCACAAAAGGGUGAAUCUCCUCCAUCUUACUCCUUGCAUAAGUAUGCCAUAAAGGAGAGCUAGGAAAAUGAGCUGGUGGUGGUCUAGUGUCGCUGUUGCUGCAAGGGUAUUCUUCUGUAUCGAUUACACUAAUCUAUUCAUCAUCUAUGUUCAUGUAUAGGUCAGUCAUGAGUUUUUUAAUCAUUUAUUUAUUAAAAAAACUCUCAAUCAAUAAAAUGUUCCGUCGAACUAUGGGAGUGUGGCCCUGGUUGUGGGCAUCACAGGCAUC